GAAGAUAUAGCUCAGUGGUAGAGUACAUGCUUAGCAGAAGGUCCUGGGUUCAAUCCCUAGUACCUCCA
rnacentral:tRNA from 1 species